rnacentral:lncRNA from 1 species
GUUAAUGGAAAUAUAUUAUAUAAAAUGUAAUUUCUAAGUUUUAAUGUGCAAUGUUAUAUAACUUAUUAGACCGGUAACCAAUUUCGUACCAUUUAACAAAAUAUAUAUCAGGUGUUGAUAUGUAUUUUUAAGAUCUUGGCAAACAACUUAAGAAACGAUAACAUGUUUUAUAACAACUAACUAAACAUGUAUCAAUUAAUGGAAUCAUAUAUUAUAUAAAAUGUAACUGCUAAGUUUUGACGUGCAAUGUUAUAUGACUUUUUAGACCGGUAACCAGUUUCGUAUCAUUUAACAAACUAUGUAUCAACCAAUGUCGCUAUUUAUUAAAAUCUUAUUAAUCAUUUUAAAUAUCUUUAGAAAAGAUUAUAACAGCUAAGCAAAUAUUUACCUACUCACUAUACUGGACUAGCACCUCCAUCAUCUUCAUCGUGGUCUUCACCAAACCACUAACUUCCGAGAUCCGAUUCCCGAGUUCUUACAAAAUCCAUCUCUGUUUCCUCACCAAUCGCUGUGUGGUGGUUGUCAAUCUUGACUUUCUUGUCACCGGAUCCCGUCGUAACUGUUGGAUCUUUCACCAUGGUUCGGAUUCUGGGUUGCGGACUCUCUAACUUUUGAAUCGGAUUCGGGAGGCAGGGAAACAGGGGUGGAUUUCUUAUCGGCGGAGAUGGUCAAAGUCGCGUAAUCGCCGCCGUAGGAGUAACGUGAGUGACAGCGUUGGCAUUGGCAUGAUCUGGAGGGUUUAAGUACAAAAUUAACAAUGGAUCCCAAAGUGAUAUUUCUUUGGAAGGUGUGUAUUUUGAAAUGGAAGAAGAACGAGAGAAAGAAAGAAGAAGAAGAUUGUUUGGUCAGGAGAAAUGUG